AUAAUAAUAAAGGGAAAAGAAAAAUAAAAAGCGCUUUGGUUUUGCCCUUUUCCUCUCCUGAAUUUGCCCUGAAAAAGGGAAAAACAAAAAACGAACGGUGCUGAUAAACUUGAUUCUCUCAUCUCAGUCGUCUCCUUUCUCCUAUCUUCACCAUCGUCCGAUUCCAUUCCACCACUCCAUUUCCACCCGAUCUAAAUCCUUCUCUCUCGCGCCCAAAUUACAAAUCUUCCGUUUUCUCCCACCAGGGUUUUCGUGAAGAUGGCUGAUGCUCCGGCGAGUCCCGGCGGAGGAAGCCAUGAGAGCGGUGAGCAGAGUCCGAGGUCUAAUGUUCGCGAACAGGAUAGGUUUCUUCCUAUUGCGAAUAUUAGUAGGAUCAUGAAGAAGGCUCUUCCUGCUAAUGGGAAGAUUGCUAAGGAUGCUAAAGAAACCGUACAAGAAUGUGUAUCGGAGUUUAUCAGUUUUAUUACUAGCGAGGCAAGUGAUAAAUGUCAAAGAGAGAAACGGAAGACGAUUAAUGGUGAUGAUUUACUUUGGGCCAUGGCCACUCUUGGAUUUGAGGAUUAUAUUGAUCCACUUAAAACCUACUUGACGAAAUACAGAGAGGGGGCGGCCUUGCAUCUAGUCUUGUUAACUUUUUUUGGGACUCUUUGAUAACGUUUUGGUUUCUGGUUUCUGGUGUCGGGUUUUUGAAAUUUAUGCUUGUUUUCUCAUUAUUUCUUUAUGAAAGGCGAAAAAUGUUUGAAUUCUUAUUCAAAAUCCAAAAUCGGAAGCAAGUUUUAGGAAACUAAAAAAAAAUUCUUAUUUUUAAGAUUUAGCUAAGAAUUCAAACUUUUCCGAAACUAAAAUGAAAAUCAUAGUAAAGAUAGAAUGGAAAAACAAGCACACUUUUUAAGAACCAUAAACCAUAAACUAAAUGGUUAUCAAUGGAGGUUUAUUUGUUUCUUUUUGGUGGUUAAUUUUACUGCUUUUCGUUGUGUUCUUCAACUGAUGGGCGGAUGCUAUGGUUUUGCAUUUUUUUGCCUGCUGGUUGGAACUUGGGACGUUUUAGACGGAGGGUGACACUAAGGGGUCUGCUAAAGGUGGUGAUGGGUCAGCUAAGAAAGAAGCUCAUCCAACCCCUAUUCCUCAGAUGGCUCAUCAAGGGUCGUUUUCCCAAGGAGUUAAUUAUGCAAGUUCUCAAUCACAAGCCCAGCAUCUGAUGGUCCCUAUGCAAGGUACUGACUGAAAUUGCCUCAAAUCGACCAUGUAAACUGUUGAAUUUGGAGAUCUUUGUUCAGCAUAACAGCAAAAUUUGAGUCUAUUUAUUUAAAGUUUGGGUGGUUUUGAUACUUUUCAUUGUAGAAACAGUUGAAACUUUGUAUAUUAUUAUGGCUGUCUAUUGGAUUGGAAGUUAGGACACAGUAUUUAAUAGAGGUUUCAAGUCCUGGGGAUCCCAUUUAUUCAUGCUUGUAAACCUUACAACCUUGGCAAGGUCUUGUAGAUCUUGAAAAAGACUUGGUAGCAGUAGCACCCUUUGGAUUUUUUUUUAGAAUAAUUUUCCUAAUCAAAAUAAUAAAUUGUGCCAGGAAUGAUUUGCUUCUA